GAUGAACGCUGGCGGCGUGCCUAAUACAUGCAAGUCGAGCGAACAGACGAGGAGCUUGCUCCUCUGACGUUAGCGGCGGACGGGUGAGUAACACGUGGAUAACCUACCUAUAAGACUGGGAUAACUUCGGGAAACCGGAGCUAAUACCGGAUAAUAUAUUGAACCGCAUGGUUCAAUAGUGAAAGACGGUUUUGCUGUCACCUAUAGAUGGAUCCGCGCCGCAUUAGCUAGUUGGUAAGGUAACGGCUUACCAAGGCAACGAUGCGUAGCCGACCUGAGAGGGUGAUCGGCCACACUGGAACUGAGACACGGUCCAGACUCCUACGGGAGGCAGCAGUAGGGAAUCUUCCGCAAAGGGCGAAAGCUUGACGGAGCAACGCCGCGUGAGUGAUGAAGGUCUUCGGAUCGUAAAACUCUGUUAUUAGGGAAGAACAAAUGUGUAAGUAACUAUGCACGUCUUGACGGUACCUAAUCAGAAAGCCACGGCUAACUACGUG
rnacentral:rRNA from 1 species